UUCUGACCCUUACCUUCCCCCUGCUGUGGCGCAGUCUUGACGCCCUGAGCACAGGGUUCUACAAACCCGGAGGUGAGCUUUCUCAUAGAGGGCACCGGUUGCAGAGCUUGAACCUGAAAAAAGGUGAGCAUUAUUUUCUGAGCCCCUGUAAGAAUCAAAAAAAUGAGAGAGGGGGGAGGAUUUUGAGAAGGGCGGGUGGUUGAGGCUAGAUCAUGAAGUUAAUUAGAUCUUAUUUUAUUUCCACAAAUCCUUAAGCACUGUGCUCUGUUGAGAGCCCAGCAUCAGCUGCAUUAUGCUGUAAAACCUGGAAUUCGAAGCAAGUUGCAGUUCCUCUCGAAGAACUUGGCGGGAGGGGGUCUGUGUGGCUGCAGAAAGCACCCUGGUAGCGUGGGGACACCAGCCAGCCCUGAGAACCUGUAAUCGCCAGUCUCCUGCAGGAUGUUUUUAGGGUAGUGGAUAGAUAUAAACUGUAAUGCACGCUACUGAGGUAGGGAGAGUCUAUAGCUGCAGCCUGCUCUCUGUUUAAUCCCCCCUUUUCCUUUUUUACAGCCUCCACUGAAAUCGGAAGAAGGAAGAGUACCGCAACAUCUGCAGAUUAGGCUUUUAUUUCUAAAAAGCCUGAGCAUCGUAUAUUCAGAUACCCUAUCAUUGCUAGGCAUGGCUAGUAUUAUUGCACGUGUGGGUAGCCGUCGGCAGAAUGCGCCGUUGCCGCCUUGGGCCCAUUCCAUGCUGAGGUCCCUGGGGUCCUCAGAACCCGGAAACUACCGG
rnacentral:lncRNA from 1 species